GCAGUAGCAAUACUGUGGGUGGCGAGUGGCGGACGGGUGAGGAAUACAUCGGAAUCUACCUUGUCGUGGGGGAUAACGUAGGGAAACUUACGCUAAUACCGCAUACGAACUAUGGUUGAAAGCGGCGGACCGCAAGGCGUCGCGCGAUUGGAUGAGCCGAUGUCCGAUUAGCUAGUUGGCGGGGUAAAGGCCCACCAAGGCGACGAUCGGUAGCUGGUCUGAGAGGAUGAUCAGCCACACUGGAACUGAGACACGGUCCAGACUCCUACGGGAGGCAGCAGUGGGGAAUAUUGGACAAUGGGCGCAAGCCUGAUCCAGCCAUGCCGCGUGUGUGAAGAAGGCCUUCGGGUUGUAAAGCACUUUUGUUGGGGAAGAAAAGCACUCAAUUAAUACCUGGGUGUUCUGACGGUACCCAAAGAAUAAGCACCGGCUAACUUCGUGCCAGCAGCCGCGGUAAUACGAAGGGUGCAAGCGUUACUCGGAAUUACUGGGCGUAAAGCGUGCGUAGGUGGUGAGUUAAGUCUGUCGUGAAAGCCCCGGGCUCAACCUGGGAAUGGCGAUGGAUACUGGCUCGCUAGAGUGCGGUAGAGGAGAGUGGAAUUCCCGGUGUAGCAGUGAAAUGCGUAGAGAUCGGGAGGAACAUCAGUUGCGAAGGCGGCUCUCUGGACCAGCACUGACACUGAGGCACGAAAGCGUGGGGAGCAAAC
rnacentral:rRNA from 1 species